GAUGAACGCUGGCGGCGUGCCUAAUACAUGCGAGUCGAGCGAACGGACGAGAAGCCUGCUUCUCUGAUGUUAGCGGCGGACGGGUGAGUAACACGUGGAUAACCUACCUAUAAGACUGGGAUAACUUCGGGAAACCGGAGCUAAUACCGGAUGAUAUUUUGAACCGCAUGGUUCAAAAGUGAAAGACGGUCUUGCUGUCACUUAUAGAUGGAUCCGCGCUGCAUUAGCUAGUUGGUAAGGUAACGGCUUACCAAGGCAACGAUGCAUAGCCGACCUGAGAGGGUGAUCGGCCACACUGGAACUGAGACACGGUCCAGACUCCUACGGGAGGCAGCAGUAGGGAAUCUUCCGCAAUGGGCGAAAGCCUGACGGAGCAACGCCGCGUGAGUGAUGAAGGUCUUCGGAUCGUAAAACUCUGUUAUUAGGGAAGAACAUAUGUGUAAGUAACUGUGCACAUCUUGACGGUACCUAAUCAGAAAGCCACGGCUAACUACGUG
rnacentral:rRNA from 1 species